rnacentral:rRNA from 1 species
UACAGAGGAGCCAAGCGUUGUCCGGAUUGACUGGGCGUAAAGCGCACGCAGGCGGAUGCGCGCGUGGGGUGUGAAAUCUGGCCGCUUAACGGCCAGGCGCCAUCCCAUACGGCGCGUCUGGAGCUAUGCAGAGGUCGGUGGAAUUGCCGGUGUAGUGGUGAAAUGCGUAGAGAUCGGCAGGAACACCCAGGGGGGAAACCAGCCGACUGGGCAUAUGCUGACGCUGAGGUGCGAGAGCGUGGGGAGCGAACCGG